rnacentral:rRNA from 1 species
GAUGAACGCUGACAGCAUGCUUAACACAUGCAAGUCGAGGGGGAAGUGCUGCUUGCACCAUUGCCACCAUGGCGGACGGGUGAGUAACGCGUAAGGGCCUUACCUGCAGGACUGGGAUAAAGGGGGGACACUCCUGACAAGACCGGAUAAUGUCAUGGAGCUGCAUGGCUUUAUCAUGAAAGGAGAGGCCUGCGGAGGGCCUUGCGUUCUAUUAGCUAGUUGGUGAGGUAAUGGCUCACCAAGGCGAAGAUAGGUAGCCGGCCUGAAAGGGUGGGCGGCCACGAGGGGACUGAGAUACGGCGCUGACGCCUACGGGAGGCAGCAGUGGGGAAUAUUGGACAAUGGGGGCGAAGCUGAUACAGCGAUUCUGUGAGGAGGAAGAAGGUUUUCGGAUGGUAAGGUGCUUUCAGCAGGGAAGAAGUAAGUGACGGUACCUGCAGAAGAAGCGACGGCUAAAUACGUG